rnacentral:misc_RNA from 1 species
GAUCAUACAGUUUGCAAAAUAAUCUCUAGCAAUUCCUCAAGUAAGCAAAGAAGAGAAAAUCAUCCUUUCCAUGGUGAUGAAUUUGUUGCUUCUAUUUGUAGAAACAAAUUUUGCUCACUUAUAAGAUAAUUGUGAAAUACAUUAAGCUAGGCAGCCAUCAUGACUACAUAGCCAAAAUUUGAAACAGCAACAAAAGGAGAAACUGCCACACCAAGAACAAAACCCAACACUUUCUUGCAUUGCCU